CACCUGUGGCACUGUCUACAUUGAAGUGUCAAAUAAAUUAAAUGGAACGCCUGAAAGAAUACAGGGUGUGAAGAUGUCUCUUGAUACUAAUGAAAUUGUUUGUACUCCUUGUUUACAAGCAAAACAAAGUAGAUUGCCGUUCAAGAACAUAGGUUCCCGAGCAACUAAGCUGUUGGAGUUAAUACACAGCGAUGUGUGUGGACCAAUGGAAAACCUGUCAAUUGGAGGAUCCAGAAUUCAAGAAUCAAGUUGAAAAUGAAUUAAACUGUACAAUUAAAACUUUAAGGACUGAUAAUGGAACUGAAUACAAAAA